UACGAAGGGGGCUAGCGUUGCUCGGAAUCACUGGGCGUAAAGCGCACGUAGGCGGCUUAUUAAGUCAGAGGUGAAAUCCUGGAGCUCAACUCCAGAACUGCCCUUGAUACUGAUGAGCUUGAGUUCGGGAGAGGUGAGUGGAACUGCGAGUGUAGAGGUGAAAUUCGUAGAUAUUCGCAAGAACACCAGUGGCGAAGGCGGCUCACUGGCCCGAUACUGACGCUGAGGUGCGAAAGCGUGGGGAGCAAACAGG
rnacentral:rRNA from 1 species